CACGUGGGGAACCUGCCCCAUAGUCUGGGAUACCACUUGGAAACAGGUGCUAAUACCGGAUAAGAAAGCGGAUCGCAUGAUCAGCUUUUAAAAGGCGGCGUAAGCUGUCGCUAUGGGAUGGCCCCGCGGUGCAUUAGCUAGUUGGUAAGGUAAAGGCUUACCAAGGCGAUGAUGCAUAGCCGAGUUGAGAGACUGAUCGGCCACAUUGGGACUGAGACACGGCCCAAACUCCUACGGGAGGCAGCAGCA
rnacentral:rRNA from 1 species